rnacentral:rRNA from 1 species
UACGGAAGGGGCAAGCGUUGUUCGGAAUCAUUGGGCGUAAAGGGCGCGUAGGUGGUUCUGUAUGUCUACCGUGAGAGCGUACGGCUCAACCGUAUUUUGUCGGUGGAAACUGCAGGACUUGAGGCUGGGAGGGGCUGGUGGAAUUCCCUGUGUAGCGGUGAAAUGCGUAGAUAUCGGGAGGAACACCAGUGGCGAAGGCGACUUCCUGGCCUGUUCUUGACGCUGAGGCGCGAAAGCUAGGGGAGCGAACAGG